GUCGUUCGUCGCCACUCAGAACAGCCUCAUCGGACGCGCUGCUUUGUCUCCGCGCUCAAAAGUGCUUUCUUGCUUCGUUUAUCGAUUACCCACGUUAAUCGCGUGAUUCAAUAUCGAGUGUACCUCCAAAGACAAUCCACUUCCCAGUGUUGUGACAAGCGGCGACCGCGGUUGUACAGGAGCGGAAGCGUGAGCCUUUUGACGAGCGACUGUGAAGAAUGCAAAGCCAGUGCCAAACUUCGCGAUGACAGCUGUUCACGGCACCGACACAGAGGACAUAUUGCAGUGCAAGAUAGGAGCGGUCUUCCUGCAAGCCCAGACAAGCCAUAUUGAGUGGUUUCAAAUACAGCAACUGUACCACCACGACAGUGCAGCACAAGAGACCCUAUCGUCAGUGCUGAGCCAGAAAUUAAAUAGAAAAGCGCUUUCUCCUGAAAUCUUUCGUCUGGUUUUAUUUCGUUUGUUUGU